UGGGGAAUUUUGGACAAUGGGGGCAACCCUGAUCCAGCCAUGCCGCGUGUGUGAAGAAGGCCUUCGGGUUGUAAAGCACUUUCGGACGGAACGAAAUCGCGCGGGAGAAUAUCCCGCGUGGAUGACGGUACCGUAAGAAGAAGCACCGGCUAACUACGUGCCAGCAGCCGCGGUAAUACGUAGGGUGCGAGCGUUAAUCGGAAUUACUGGGCGUAAAGUGUGCGCAGGCGGUCUCGCAAGUCAGGCGUGAAAGCCCCGGGCUUAACUUGGGAACGGCGCUUGAAACUACGAGGCUUGAGUGUGGCAGAGGGAGAUGGAAUUCCACGUGUAGCGGUGAAAUGCGUAGAGAUGUGGAGGAACACCGAUGGCGAAGGCAGUCUCCUGGGCCAACACUGACGCUCAUGCACGAAAGCGUGGGGAGCAAACAGG
rnacentral:rRNA from 1 species